UAAUUACUCCAUCCGUCUCAAAAUUUUUGUUUUAGAUUUGUCUAAAUACGAAUGUAUCGAGACAAAUCUAAGACAAGAAUUUUGGGACGGAGGGAGUACUAA
rfam:Triticum urartu cultivar G1812 contig911637, whole genome shotgun sequence.